rnacentral:rRNA from 1 species
CAUUUGUCUUUUCAUUAAAGGCUAGAAUGAAUGGCGGGACGAGAAAAUACCUGUCUCCUUGAAAUAACUUGAAUUUCAUAUUUGGGUGCAAAAGCUUAAAUAAUCUUAAAAGACGAUCAGACCCUAUGGAGCUUUAUCAAGAUUCUUUUUGAGUUAAUUUGUGUUAACCUAGAAAGUGAAUUGAUUUUGUUGGGGUGACAAAGAGUUACAAUUAACUCUCUUUUAAGUAAAUACAUAUUAGUAGACUAUUGAUCCUAAAUGAUAGAUUAAAAGACUAAGUUACCCUAGGGAUAACAGCGUUAUUUUUCUGGAGAGUUCUAAUCGAUAGAGAAGUUUGC